GUCUCAGUUUUGGAUGGACCUUUUUGGAGACCUGAGAGACUCUGGAUUUUUCAAUGGCAGCCACGAACACCAGUGUUUGCUGAGAUUUUGCUUCAGUAAAGUCCUUCAGAAAGACCUGGAUGAAUGCGUGGACCUGUGGAAUAAGCACCGGAUUCGUCCAAGCAGACCAGCAUCAUGUCCAUGAGGGAUCCCAAAUGAACUAUAUCUCUUGCCCCACAGGUAGUAAAGGUUUACAUCAGUGGUUCUCUCUAGUGGUCCUCUCCUCUCCUACUCGUUCCUCUUCUUCCUCCAUGCUCUCCUCUCUCUCUCCUCUGCCUAUUCAAGGAGCAAAAGUUAGUACAAUCUUGUAUUUAGAGGCUCUGUCUCUGCAAUUGUCGAUAAAUGUUUCUGUGUAUCAUCCUUUUUUCAGAUUUGGUUCAAGGGACUGUGGAUUCUUUGUUGAAGAUGCAGAGCUGGAUGUGUUUCCCGAGGCAAGACAAGAGAUUGAUUUUUACAGUGAUGCAGACAUUGAGGAAUACCUACAACAGGCUGUGGAACAAAACAGACUACAACAGCCACAAGACUGGAGGACAGCCUCAGACCUUUACGCCACUCUGAAGCAAAUAGCUGGGCUGUAGAGACUGAGUCCCAGGUCCCUUUGAUCCUUUGGUUGGGCUGCUCUCCACUAUGUUUGUCCACUCAUCGGUCAGUUUAGGGGGGUCCAGCUGCUGGCACAGUCCUUACCCUGCUGCUCCUACCAGUGUUAACAGCCCUGCAGAUUGGCGUUUCCCCCAAUCUUCAGUGCCUAACCAUGUCUCCCUACUGUCAGUUGUGAGAAUGUGUAUAGUUAUAUUAAUAUGUGUAGAUGGUGGUGGGAGGCACUGGUUUUUGACUUAAAUUAUUUGAAAAAAAUAGCAUUUUUUAACCAUUUUAGUUGUUAUUCUAAAUAUUUAUGAAUCUUUGUGGACAAGAGAUGGGAAUACCUCAUUUUUUUGUAAAC